GAAUUAUUAAUCAAAGUGCUAGUCAGCAUGCAUGAUAGAACAUGCUAUGUACUCCACCAACACCUUAGACAUGUAGCAUAGGCAUGGUAACAAUUGCAUGCCAAUGCUUGGCUAGUAAUGCUAGAUUACAUGAAUCAUUAGCAAGCAGGGUUUGCCAUACCGAUGCAUACCAUCUUGUACUAAACAUGCCGUACCAAUGCAUGCCAUCCUAUACUAAACAUGUUGUACCGUACCAGUACCGAACCAACCCUCAGUUUGAGCGGUUUACUAAGUUUUGGUACACCAAUCCGACCCCAUAACAGAUGUACCGACACUAUAUCAACAUGUUACCAAUAUGGAAUCUAGUAUCGAGAUUAUGAACCCUGCUAGCAAGGCAC
rnacentral:lncRNA from 1 species